UACGUAGGCAGCAAGCGUUGUUCGGAGUUACUGGGCGUAAAGGGUGUGUAGGCGGUUAUUUAAGUUUGGUGUGAAAUCUCCCGGCUCAACCGGGAGGGUGCGCCGAAUACUGAAUGACUUGGAGUGCGGGAGAGGAAAGUGGAAUUCCUGGUGUAGCGGUGAAAUGCGUAGAGAUCAUGAGGAAGACCAGUGGCGAAGGCGGGUCUCUGGACAGUUCCUGACACUGAGACACGAAGGCCAGGGGAGCAAACGGG
rnacentral:rRNA from 1 species